rnacentral:rRNA from 1 species
CAGCCGCCGCGGUAAUMCGUAGGGUGCGAGCGUUAAUCGGAAUUACUGGGCGUAAAGCGUGCGCAGGCGGAUUGUUAAGCAAGACGUGAAAUCCCCGGGCUUAACCUGGGAAUGGCGUUUUGAACUGGCAGUCUAGAGUGCGUCAGAGGGGGGUGGAAUUCCACGUGUAGCAGUGAAAUGCGUAGAGAUGUGGAGGAACACCGAUGGCGAAGGCAGCCCCCUGGGAUGACACUGACGCUCAUGUACGAAAGCGUGGGUAGCAAACAGGAUUAGAUACCCUGGUAGUCCACGCCCUAAACGAUGUCAACUGGUUGUUGGGGGAGUGAAAUCCCUUAGUAACGAAGCUAACGCGUGAAGUUGACCGCCUGGGGAGUACGGUCGCAAGAUUAAAACUCAAAGGAAUUGACGGGGACCCGCACAAGCGGUGGAUGAUGUGGAUUAAUUCGAUGCAACGCGAAAAACCUUACCUACCCUUGACAUGUCCGGAAUCCUGCAGAGAUGCGGGAGUGCCUGAAAGGGAAUCGGAACACAGGUGCUGCAUGGCUGUCGUCAGCUCGUGUCGUGAGAUGUUGGGUUAAGUCCCGCAACGAGCGCAACCCUUAUCAUUAGUUGCUACGCAAGGGCACUCUAAUGAGACUGCCGGUGACAAACCGGAGGAAGGUGGGGAUGACGUCAAGUCCUCAUGGCCCUUAUGGGUAGGGCUUCACACGUCAUACAAUGGUCGGUACAGAGGGUUGCCAAGCCGCGAGGUGGAGCCAAUCCCAGAAAGCCGAUCGUAGUCCGGAUUGUUCUCUGCAACUCGAGAGCAUGAAGUCGGAAUCGCUAGUAAUCGCGGAUCAGCAUGUCGCGGUGAAUACGUUCCCGGGUCUUGUACACACCGCCCGU